rnacentral:piRNA from 1 species
UGUAUAUACGGGCUUAAGGGAGAAGAUAG